UGUGCUGUCGUUUGCCAGCAAGGGAGGAUGCUACAAUAUAUAGAGACUCUCUCUAUUCGUUAGGAGUGGUUCAUGGUUUUGGGACUCUGUGGUCACAAAGGGGCACGUUAACUGCGACAGGAACACCAAUUAAAUCUGGACACGAAGUAGAGGCAUUUCUAGAAGUGUGUCUAUUACCCAGUAGACUAGCUGUGGUAAAAUGUGAAGCUCACACCGGUCGUACUGAUAAGAUAGCAGUAGGGAAUUUCCGAGCAGAUGAGGCGGCUAAAGCGGAGCCACAAUCUAAAACAGAAGAUGCGACCAAACUGCAUGUAAAUCGUGUAAAUACUAAAGCUGGGAUUCUCAGCAAACUCCCACCAAACAGCUACCACCACCAGACGGAUCCUUUACAUCAUUGCAGAUGGACUUUAUAUGGCCACUUCCUCAAAGUAGGGGUAAGACACACGCACAGUGUAUUCACAGGUAAAAUUAACACACAAGGAACGGACCCCAGGAGAUAACCACAAGCACAGCCUGAGUCUGGGGGACUGAGUGUACAUCAAGGUCCACCAAGCCGGUGUUCGGACAAUGCUGGUCCGGGCCCCACACAGUACUACUCACCACGCAUACAGCAGUGAAAACUACAACCUCUCCUCGGUGGGUCCAUAUUUCUCAUGUGAAAUGAGAUCCGGCUGACUAAGGGAAACCACACACACACACACAGUAUUGAACAUAAGUUGCCAACAUCAUAACUGGACAUAUUCAGUGCUGAAGAUUGAGGACAGCUUUUGUAUGCUAGAAAUAUACUGUUUGGAGAGGGAGUAGGGAGGAUAAGGGAGUGGGGAGGUGGGUAAAAUAUUGCCAAUAAAAUUGCAUAAUGGGACUGAAUUGAUUUAUAUGCAAAGUGUAUGUUCAAUUACAAAAAAAGGGGUUUUGGACUCCAGACUGAGACUCAUCAAAACGAAGAGCAGAGCCAGGAGGGGUGAGGACUUCCGGCUACCGCAGACCUACUGCACCUCACCCACUAUAGGUCUGCCUACAUCCCCACCAGCAUCUUCAGAGGGACCUGGGACUUCGUUGGUGGGCAAGGGGACCUCAGAUUCAGGGUUCUCAAUGGCCACAUGGUUGGGGGGAAGCUCAUCACUGUCACUGUCAGAAUCUGAUUCCUCACAGUCAUUCUCAGAGUCAUUCUCAGAAUUCCAGAAUUUUUGCAUUUGUGAGUUGUCUCCGUUUGAAAGACAUUGCUAAUGCUACAGCUUAGCCCACUAACUACAUACAUAAACAACAACAAUUAAUGGCUCCAAGUGAGUGUCAGGGGUGACAUGAUUGGCUGCCGGUGUGGUGAUACUGAUGAUUUGUCUCCACAGAUGGUUUGUUCACAUAACAGUUUAGGAUAAUUAACGUGGCAGGUUAGGAGAACUAAUGCAGCAGGUUAGGUGAAUUAACGUAGGAGGUUACAAGAAUGAGGUUAAGGUAAGGAAAAAGGUUAGGCUUACCUCCAAUGCUACAGUUGUCAACAACUGUGUUCCCUGACGCGACCACUGCGGAGAGCUGUUGUAGGCCUAGCUACUCCAUCUAGCCACAACGGUAGAAACGUAAACAAACUAUCUGUGGUGAAAAAUCAUCAGUAUCAUAACACCGACACAUGCCAAUUGUUUCAAUAAAUCUCUAUCAGAAAAUG